rnacentral:rRNA from 1 species
CAGGCUUAACACAUGCAAGUCGAGGGGCAGCAUGGUCUUAGCUUGCUAAGGCCGAUGGCGACCGGCGCACGGGUGAGUAACACGUAUCCAACCUGCCGUCUACUCUUGGACAGCCUUCUGAAAGGAAGAUUAAUACAAGAUGGCAUCAUGAGUCCGCAUGUUCACAUGAUUAAAGGUAUUCCGGUAGACGAUGGGGAUGCGUUCCAUUAGAUAGUAGGCGGGGUAACGGCCCACCUAGUCUUCGAUGGAUAGGGGUUCUGAGAGGAAGGUCCCCCACAUUGGAACUGAGACACGGUCCAAACUCCUACGGGAGGCAGCAGUGAGGAAUAUUGGUCAAUGGGCGAGAGCCUGAACCAGCCAAGUAGCGUGAAGGAUGACUGCCCUAUGGGUUGUAAACUUCUUUUAUAAAGGAAUAAAGUCGGGUAUGGAUACCCGUUUGCAUGUACUUUAUGAAUAAGGAUCGGCUAACUCCGUGCCAGCAGCCGCGGUAAUACGGAGGAUCCGAGCGUUAUCCGGAUUUAUUGGGUUUAAAGGGAGCGUAGAUGGAUGUUUAAGUCAGUUGUGAAAGUUUGCGGCUCAACCGUAAAAUUGCAGUUGAUACUGGAUAUCUUGAGUGCAGUUGAGGCAGGCGGAAUUCGUGGUGUAGCGGUGAAAUGCUUAGAUAUCACGAAGAACUCCGAUUGCGAAGGCAGCCUGCUAAGCUGCAACUGACAUUGAGGCUCGAAAGUGUGGGUAUCAAACAGGAUUAGAUACCCUGGUAGUCCACACGGUAAACGAUGAAUACUCGCUGUUUGCGAUAUACUGCAAGCGGCCAAGCGAAAGCGUUAAGUAUUCCACCUGGGGAGUACGCCGGCAACGGUGAAACUCAAAGGAAUUGACGGGGGCCCGCACAAGCGGAGGAACAUGUGGUUUAAUUCGAUGAUACGCGAGGAACCUUACCCGGGCUUAAAUUGCAGAUGAAUUACGGUGAAAGCCGUAAGCCGCAAGGCAUCUGUGAAGGUGCUGCAUGGUUGUCGUCAACUCGUGCCGUGAGGUGUCGGCUUAAGUGCCAUAACGAGCGCAACCCUUGUUGUCAGUUACUAACAGGUUCCGCUGAGGACUCUGACAAGACUGCCAUCGUAAGAUGUGAGGAAGGUGGGGAUGACGUCAAAUCAGCACGGCCCUUACGUCCGGGGCUACACACGUGUUACAAUGGGGGGUACAGAGGGCCGCUACCACGCGAGUGGAUGCCAAUCCCCAAAACCUCUCUCAGUUCGGACUGGAGUCUGCAACCCGACUCCACGAAGCUGGAUUCGCUAGUAAUCGCGCAUCAGCCACGGCGCGGUGAAUACGUUCCCGGGCCUUGUACACACCGCCCGUCAAGCCAUGGGAGCCGGGGGUACCUGAAGUGCGUAACCGCGAGGAGCGCCCUAGGGUAAAACUGGUGACUGGG